GACGAACGCUGGCGGCAUGCUUAACACAUGCAAGUCGAACGGAAAGGCCCUGCUUUUUUGUGGUUCCCGCGUGGCGAACGUGUGAGUAACACGUGAGUAACCUUCCCUUUACUUUAGGAUAACUUCAGAAAGCUGGGGCUAAUACCGGAUAGCUGCUCCUGCUGCAUGGUGGUGUUUGGACAGUUUCGGUUGUUGGGGAUGGACGGGCGGCUUACCAGCUUGUUGGGUGGGUGGUUGCUUACCAAGGCUUUGACGGGUAGCCGGCAUGAGAGGGUGACCGGCGACAUUGGGACUGAGAUACGGACCAGACGCCUACGGGAGGCAGCAGUGGGGAGUAUUGUACAACGGGGGGAAGCCUGAGGAAGCAACGCCGCGUGCGGAAUGACGGCCUACGGGUUGUAAACCGCUUUAGCCUGUGACGAAGCGUGAGUGACGGUAAUGGGUAAAGAAGCACCGGCUAACUACGUG
rnacentral:rRNA from 1 species